rnacentral:rRNA from 1 species
GCUAGCAGCCAUAUCACCCUGCAACUCACAACUGGCAACCCACUGAAGCUAAGCAGGUGUGAGUCUGUCAGUACCUGGAUGGGAGACCUCCUAGGAAAAACUAAGGUUGUUGCUGGAA